GCUGUAUUGCAUACAGUAAUGGUUAGGCAGCUGGGCUUGUAACUCAGAGGUUGCAGGUUCAAUUCCAGGAUGGGGCA
rnacentral:tRNA from 1 species